UUUUUCUUCAUAAAUUGUAAAUUAGUUUAUUGUGUGCACUCAUUUGUGAAUUAAAGUUUUAUAAAAACAUCAUCUCCUUUAAAAAAUGAAGUUUCAAUUAAUUAUUUAUUAAUUACUCUGUGCUUGAUGUCCUUAAUAGAAAAUAUUGAUGGCAAAGGAUUUUAAAAUAUGUCAAUGAUGAUAAAGAAGAAGCUAUUGUCUAUGAUAAUGGUGAUUACAUAUUAUAAGAAUAAAGUAACCGGUGAAAUAAUGAUGAAUAAUAGAGGAUGAGAAUUUGCAAUUCAAAUGGUAGAAGUGACCAAAACUAAAAUUUUCCCCUUGGAUUGUAUAGUUUUUUAUGUUUUGGAAGAUGAUUUUAAACUUUUAUUUCUUUAAUAAAAAAAAUAUUUAACUUAA